AUGCAAAUCCACACCUGCUCUCAUUUCAGUGUAAAUGAGCCUGAUGCAUUUAGGUGUGACCACAACAUUUCAGCAGAAAGAUGUUUGCUGACAGUGCAGGAGGUUUUUGUACGGCCUCUUAAUGAGUUUGUAUCACUGUGGUUGACUUUUGGUGGAGGAACCAAACUUAUCGUUGACUUGGGUGUGGUGCCGCCCACCCUGACCGUCCUCCCCCCCUCCAAAGAGGAGGAGCAGCACAGCAGUGUCACACUGGUGUGUCUGGCCAGCGGGGGCUUCCCCUCCACCUGGAAGCUGGGAUGGAAGGUGGGGGGCAGCAACAGCUCCUCAGGGGUGUCUAACAGCCUGGAGGUCCUGGGGAGGGACGGCCUCUACAGCUGGAGCAGCACCCUGAGCCUCCCUGCAGACCAGUGGAGGAAGGCGGGCUCAGUGAGCUGUGAGGCCAAUCAGAGUGGACAGGAUCCUGUCACUCAAAGUCUGGACCCCGCCCACUGCUCAGAGUAGAGCUUCAGCUUCAUGUCUGGAAACCAGGAUGUUUUAUAUUUUAUUCAGGAAGAAAACUUUUCAAGUUUAGACAGAUUUCUUUUACUAUCACCUCUGUCCUGUUUGACAGCUUCAAGUUAAUGUGUAAAAUUCACCUUUAAUAAAACUACAGAUUUAAACA